UGCAGUCGAGGGGCAGCAUGAUUGAAGCUUGCUUCAUUGAUGGCGACCGGCGCACGGGUGAGUAACACGUAUCCAACCUGCCGAUAACUCGGGGAUAGCCUUUCGAAAGAAAGAUUAAUACCCGAUAGUAUAGUAUUUCCGCAUGGUUUCACUAUUAAAGAAUUUCGGUUAUCGAUGGGGAUGCGUUCCAUUAGAUAGUUGGCGGGGUAACGGCCCACCAAGUCAACGAUGGAUAGGGGUUCUGAGAGGAAGGUGAUUUGAUUGGAACUGACACNCCGUCCAAACUCCUACGGGAGGC
rnacentral:rRNA from 1 species